GGGUGAGUAACACGUGGGUGAUCUGCCCUGCACUUCGGGAUAAGCCUGGGAAACUGGGUCUAAUACCGGAUAGGAGCCAUUUUUAGUGUGAUGGUUGGGAAGUUUUUCGGUGUAGGAUGAGCUCGCGGCCUAUCAGCUUGUUGGUGGGGUAAUGGCCUACCAAGGCGGCGACGGGUAGCCGGCCUGAGAGGGUGGACGGCCACAUUGGGACUGGGAUACGGCCCAG
rnacentral:rRNA from 1 species